rfam:Stagonospora sp. SRC1lsM3a unplaced genomic scaffold IQ06scaffold_1, whole genome shotgun sequence.
GGGCGCUUGGUCUAGGGGUAUGAUUUUCGCUUCGCACUAUUCUCGUGAGCUUGUGAAAGGUCGUGGGUUCAAUUCCCACAGCGUCCA